AACUAUCCCUAUUAAUCAUUAUUCUAAGUCUAUAAACCAAUAAAUAGACAAGAAUCCUAUUCUAUUAUCCCAUGCUAAUCUAUUCAAUGCCCAUACAGGCUGCUUUUGAACACUCUAAUUUACUCAAAGUAAAUGAACUGGAACCCCACUUAAUACCUUACUGUGAUCCUUUAGGUUUCGUAACCAGUUUUACCCAAUUACUACAUCUAAAAGCAAUAAAAUACUAAGCGAUGCCUUGCGACACUACUCCAUGCAAUAAAGAACAGAGUCGAGUAACCAGUAGGAAAGAGCAAUUUACCUUGAGAAAAACAGAGUGUUCCAGGCAGGUUUGUCCGGAAUGCAUUAGCAUGGAAUAAUAGAAUAUGACUGAAGUCGAUUUAUUGGUUUAAGGCUUUAGUAAUGAUUAAUAGGAACAGUCGGGGGC
rnacentral:rRNA from 1 species